AUUGAACGCUGGCGGCAGGCCUAACACAUGCAAGUCGAACGAGUGGCGGACGGGUGAGUAAUGUAUGGGAAACUGCCUGAUGGAGGGGGAUAACUACUGGAAACGGUAGCUAAUACCGCAUACCAUCGGAUGUGCCCAGAUGGGUUUAGCUAGGAGGUGGGGUAACGGCUCACCUAGGCGACGAUCCGUAGCUGGUCGGAGAGGAGGAACAGCCCCACUGGAAUUGAGACACGGUCCAGACUCCUACGGGAGGCAGCAGUGGGGAAUAUUGCAUAAUGGGCGCAAGCCUGAUGCAGCCAUGCCGCGUGUAGGAAGAAGGCCUGCGGAUUGUAAAGCACUUUAAGUUGGGAGGCGUUACCAACAGAAUAAGCACCGGCUAACUUCGUGCCAGCAGCCGCGGUAAUUC
rnacentral:rRNA from 1 species